rnacentral:lncRNA from 1 species
UCGGACCGAAGUCCGAAGCUGACUAUCUGGGACCUUGUCCCCUCCAUCGGACCGAAGUCCGAAGCUGACAUCGGACCGAAGUCCGAAGCUAACUGACUACAGCAUAUCAUAGCAUAUCAACUGGCAUAAACUCACAUAUACUGCAUACUACAUCGGGCCGUAGCCCGGAACACAUAACACAUAAUUCCUGUUUGAGCCACGAAGGCAUCAAACAUACUAACUGCUGUAUCAGAUCAACAUCCGAAACUACUGCUAGCUAAACGGGCCGGCAUUGUGGCCUUAGACCCGUUCCUACUGGAAGGAAAAUCACCUGAACUGCUGAGCCCUGCUGAUAAACCUCUGGCUGCUACUCGACAAUCCCCUGAACCGCUGCUCCUCUAGCUCUCCGAGCUAUCAAUAUACAUAUAACACUUAGUCUGACAGUCAACUAAGUCAACUCUGGUCAAAGUCAACCUUCCAGGUCAACCCUACUCGCCGAGUCUUCCUAAAGACUCGCCGAGUUCAUAAGCUCAGGGUCUUUCUUAUUCGCGACCCGACUCGCCGAGUCAGUCCAUGACUCGCCGAGUCCAACUAGUUCCAAGUCCUGUCCUGUCCAACUCGCUGAGUCACCACCCGACUCACUGAUUCGAGUCUCAACUCAAAAGGUUUUAGGGUUUCGCGACCUGAGUCGCCGAGUCCAAGAACAGACUCGCCGAGUCCAAGACAAUCUUCAACCAACUCGUCGAGUUGUUCAUCCAACUCGCCGAGUCCAUGCCUAACUUCAACCGACUCGACGAGCUGUUCAUCCUACUCGUCGAGUUCCUCCUCAUCUUCAAGCUACUCGCCGAGUCCACUCGAAGGACUCGUCGAGUCCACUAAGAUCCACUUACAUGCAGAGGACUUCCGAGUCAUGCAUGAGCUCCAAACUAUAGAUCUACCCUCCCCAAGCCUAUUUCCCACGUAAAGUUGCAAACUUUACGUGUAGAGAGUGAGAUCUAGGCAAAAUACACCCAUAGCUAGGGUUUAGGACCAAGAGACUCCAAUUUCCACCCAAUGGCUGAUACUUUAUGGGAUUACAUACCAAAAUAAACAUGGAUCUGAGGUAGCAACCUCAGAUCUGGACCUCAAGCUCAAGAUUGGUCUUAAACAUGGCUUAAAAGCCCCAAAACUCAUAACCAAAGAAGAUCUAAAGGAAGGAAACGAAUUGAUACCUUCCAAUGCUCUGAAAUGUUCCCCAAACUUCAGAUCCAAGGCCACUCCUUGAUGCCUCCAAGAUUCCCACUCCUUCUUCUUCCUUAAAACCACUCAAAAUGGCUAAAAAGCUUGAAUGAACACAAUGGGGGCUUAAAGUGCGGCGUUCUGGGUGCAAGAGGCUGUAAAGGAGCCCUAGGAAGAAGAUUAAGAUGCUUAAAUAGGCUCCAAGCCCCAGAUUUAGGGUUUUCCUCGCACAGACCAGACUCGCCGAGUCCACUUGGCCGACUCGUCGAGUUGGUCUUUUUCUUAUCGACCCGGAUCCCGCUCCGACUCGCCGAGUCCUUCCUUUGACUCGUCGAGUCCCUCUUAAAUUUAGGGUUUCCUUUACUUUCUUGGCUUUCAAAAUCUUGGGUGUUACACUUGUGAUGCUCUAGAAUGUCGUAAAGCAUCAGUCAAUGAGUUGUUGGUGAAGCCCCUUUGUCUUAAACCCUAGCCCUAGAGCGAAAGCCUCAAUAUGGAUUAAGGACUGAAG